CAGCAGCCGCGGUAAUACGUAGGGUGCAAGCGUUAAUCGGAAUUACUGGGCGUAAAGCGUGCGCAGGCGGUUUGUUAAGACAGAUGUGAAAUCCCCGGGCUCAACCUGGGACCUGCAUUUGUGACUGUAUAGCUAGAGUACGGUAGAGGGGGAUGGAAUUCCGCGUGUAGCAGUGAAAUGCGUAGAUAUGCGGAGGAACACCGAUGGCGAAGGCAAACCCCUGGACCUGUACUGACGCUCAUGCACGAAAGCGUGGGGAGCAAACAGGAUUAGAUACCCCCGUAGUCCCUGUCUCUUAUAC
rnacentral:rRNA from 1 species